AUUGAACGCUGGCGGCAUGCUUUACACAUGCAAGUCGAACGGCAGCGCGGGCUUCGGCCUGGCGGCGAGUGGCGAACGGGUGAGUAAUACAUCGGAACGUGCCCAGUAGUGGGGGAUAGCUCGGCGAAAGCCGGAUUAAUACCGCAUACGACCUGAGGGUGAAAGCGGGGGAUCUUCGGACCUCGCGCUAUUGGAGCGGCCGAUGGCAGAUUAGCUAGUUGGUGGGGUAAAGGCCUACCAAGGCGACGAUCUGUAGCUGGUCUGAGAGGACGACCAGCCACACUGGGACUGAGACACGGCCCAGACUCCUACGGGAGGCAGCAGUGGGGAAUUUUGGACAAUGGGCGAAAGCCUGAUCCAGCAAUGCCGCGUGUGUGAUGAAGGCCUUCGGGUUGUAAAGCACUUUUGGCGGGAACGAAAAGGACUGUGCCUAUACCACGGUUCGAUGACGGUACCCGCAGAAUAAGCACCGGCUAACUACGUG
rnacentral:rRNA from 1 species